GACGAACGCUGGCGGCGUGCUUAACACAUGCAAGUCGAACGGAAAGGCCUGCUUUCCCUUGUGGAUUGCGGGUACUCGAGUGGCGAACGGGUGAGUAACACGUGAGUGAUCUGCCCCCAACUUGGGUAUAAGCCUGGGAAACUGGGUCUAAUUCCCGAUAGGACUGCAGGGUGGUGCCUGUGGUGGAAAACGAUUUUCUAGUGGUUGGGGAUGAGCUCGCGGCCUAUCCGCUUGUUGGUGGGGUAAUGGCCUACCAAGGCGGCGACGGGUAGCCGGCCUGGGAGGGUGGACGGCCACAUUGGGACUGAGAUACGGCCCAGACUCCUACGGGAGGCAGCAGUGGGGAAUAUUGCACAAUGGGCGGAAGCCUGAUGCAGCGACGCCGCGUGGGGGAUGACGGCCUUCGGGUUGUAAACUCCUUUCGACCGCGAGGAAGCCACCUGGUUGGAAGGGUGGUGACGGUAGUGGUAGAAGAAGCACCGGCUAACUACGUG
rnacentral:rRNA from 1 species